AACGAACGCUGGCGGCAUGCCUAACACAUGCAAGUCGAACGAGACCUUCGGGUCUAGUGGCGCACUGGUGCGUAACGCGUGGGAACCUGCCCUUAGGUUCGGAAUAACUCCCCGAAAGGGGUGCUAAUACCGGCUAUUGUCUUCGGACCAAAGAUUUAUCGCCUUUGGAUGGGCCCGCGUUGCAUUAGCUAGUUGUUAGGGUAAACGCCUACAAAUGCGUCGAUACAUAGCUGGUCUGAGAGGAUGAUCAGCCACACUGGGACUGAGACACGGCCCAGACUCCUACGGGAGGCAGCAGUGGGGAAUAUUGGACAAUGGGCGAAAGCCUGAUGCAGCAAUGCCGCGUGAGUGAUGAAGGCCUUAGGGUUGUAAAGCUCUUUUACACGGGAUGAUAAUGACAGUACCGGGAGAAUAAGCUCCGGCUAACUCCGUG
rnacentral:rRNA from 1 species